GAAAUGCGAUACGUAAUGCGAAUUGCAGAAUUCAGUGAAUCAUCGAAUCUUUGAACGCAAGUUGCGCUUUCGAGAGCCCUCGGAAGCAUGCCUCUCUGAGUAUCGGUUUCUACAUCUCACACCUGGUGUGGAGAAUGAGAGUUGCGCGCCAGCAUCUCUUGAAGUCAGCAGCACGUCGGCCAAAGUCCAUCGGGUUCUUGGAACGAUAAUCCGUCAUGGCGCCAGAAAACCAUACACAAGAUCUCAGAUGAGGUAAGACUACCCGCCGAAUUUAA
rnacentral:misc_RNA from 1 species